GCCACACCGCUGAUAAGGGCACCAGGCAGACUGGGGCAAGAGCGAUGUGACGCAAUCCCGUCUGGCCUGCUGCCAUCUGUGCCCACUCAGAUGGAAAGCCUGCAAACAGAGCUACAGACCCCUAGAGCAGAGAGGUGUAACCAGGGCUUAUGAUGUGAUGAGCAGUCCUGUGUGAGUGCAUGGAUGUGGGCCAGGGGGUACCACUGGUGUGGCACAGGCGCAAAGGCAGGGGCAGUGCUGCGAGGGAGCAGGCCCAAGACUGGUUUCAGAAGUAGAAGUCCACUUGUUGCCACUGUCGCCAGCAGAUUUUAUGUGUCUUGCUGGUGGUGACACUAGGCUUUCAGGUCCUCAGGCAAGCCCAGAGCCUUCACAUAUCCCCAUCCUAUGUCUUGAAGCCUUCUACAUCACCAUCUUGCUGGUGUGAGCAUAGGGAGAAAAUGCAGAGCCAGCUGGAGCUCCAGAGCCAAUGUGAGCAUAUCAUUCUAAUCUGCUUUGUGAAGACAGUGGAAUUUGAAUACCACUGAGGAAUGAGACUAAGGAAGAUCAAGCCUUAUAUCAGCCAACAGCUUUCCUACAGCACCACUGCUUGGUGCCUCCAGCACAGAAAGGAAGCAGACAUUUCCUGCCACCCUCUAUCCAAGGAGAGGGAUCUGGAGUACACAACAAUGUGUUCCAGCAGCACUGUCCCAGCCUGUUGUUCCUGCACUGCUGCUGGCAUGACCAAAGAGCCAGGCCAUGCUUGGAAUCAGAAGCAUUGGAGGUGGCACCAGAGGCAUUUGGAUGGGGUUUUUUUUGUAAUAAAAGCUUUGAAGAAGA